rnacentral:rRNA from 2 species
CCUACGGGGGGCAGCAGUGGGGAAUAUUGCACAAUGGGCGCAAGCCUGAUGCAGCCAUGCCGCGUGUAUGAAGAAGGCCUUCGGGUUGUAAAGUACUUUCAGCGGGGAGGAAGGGAGUAAAGUUAAUACCUUUGCUCAUUGACGUUACCCGCAGAAGAAGCACCGGCUAACUCCGUGCCAGCAGCCGCGGUAAUACGGAGGGUGCAAGCGUUAAUCGGAAUUACUGGGCGUAAAGCGCACGCAGGCGGUUUGUUAAGUCAGAUGUGAAAUCCCCGGGCUCAACCUGGGAACUGCAUCUGAUACUGGCAAGCUUGAGUCUCGUAGAGGGGGGUAGAAUUCCAGGUGUAGCGGUGAAAUGCGUAGAGAUCUGGAGGAAUACCGGUGGCGAAGGCGGCCCCCUGGACGAAGACUGACGCUCAGGUGCGAAAGCGUGGGGAGC